GCGCAGCAGUCGCGAAACCUUCGCAAUGCAGGAAACUGCGACGAGGGAACUCCAAGUGCCUACGCUCAGCGUAGGCUGUUCUCAAGCCUAGAAAGCUUGAGGAGUAAGGGCUGGGUAAGACGGGUGCCAUCUGGUGGUAGCAGUCAAUAGAUUCGAUUUGUUACUGCAAGGCAUAAGCCGCCGCGGUAAUACCCCGCAGCCCAAGUGGUGGCCGCUUUUAUUGGGCCUAAAGCGUCCGUAGCCGGCCCGGUAAAUGCCUGGGGUAAAUCGUGGAGCCCAACUUCACGGAAUUCCGGGUAGACUGCCGAGCUCGGGGACCGGAAGACGGGGAGAGGGGUACUUC
rnacentral:rRNA from 1 species